GAUUAACGCUGGCGGCGUGCAUAACACAUUCAAGUCGAACGGUGAAGGGACUUCGGCCCCGGAUCAGUGGCGGACGGGUGAGUAACGCGUGAGCAAUCUACCUCUUGGUGAGGGAUAACAACCGGAAACAGUUGCUAAUACCUCAUGAAACGGCAGACCCGCAUGGGACAACCGUCAAAGAUUUAUUGCCAAGAGAUGAGCUUGCGUCUGAUUAGGUAGUUGGUGAGGUAACGGCUCACCAAGUCGACGAUCGUUAGCCGGACUGAGAGGUUGAACGGCCACAUUGGGACUGAGACACGGCCCAG
rnacentral:rRNA from 1 species